AGUGAGGAUGAUGCUGCAAUGAAAGAGGGGGAGAAAAUGUUUGAGGAGUUUUCGAAGCUUCCGGAAAGUGAGCAGAAAGCUGCGGCCACAAAGUUGCUAGAAAAG